rnacentral:rRNA from 1 species
AUGGAGGCCAAGCUCGUAGUGAUCCUUGCGGCCUGCAUCUUGCUUUCCUUCAGCAACAAAGGCGAUGCCCAGCCGUGCACACCGUCGGAUCUCCUCGUCAACCAAACCACCAUGCCGGGGGAGGUCGGAGGGCGCCCGCACUACCUGGUGACGGUGGAGAACAGGUGCGUCUGCACGCAGCUCGGCGUGAAGCUGGCGUGCGCGGGGCUCAACUCCACCGUCACCGUCGACCCGGCCGGCGUGGUCGCGCCGGCCGGGGACGACGGCGCGCUCUGCACCCUCAACGGUGGCCAGCCGAUGCAUGCAAACGAGACGGUCUUGUUUGCGUACGCGUCGAGCGCGAAGAUCAGCUUCAGGCCCGUCUCGUCCUACGUCGACUGCUCCGUAGCCCUCUCGCCGGCUCCGCAGGCUGCACCAUGA